rnacentral:rRNA from 1 species
GACGAACGCUGGCGGCGUGCUUAACACAUGCAAGUCGAACGGAAAGGCCCUGCUUGCAGGGUACUCGAGUGGCGAACGGGUGAGUAACACGUGGGUGAUCUGCCCUGCACUUCGGGAUAAGCCUGGGAAACUGGGUCUAAUACCGGAUAGGAGCCAUUUUUAGUGUGAUGGUUGGAAAGUUUUUUCGGUGUAGGAUGAGCUCGCGGCCUAUCAGCUUGUUGGUGGGGUAAUGGCCUACCAAGGCGGCGACGGGUAGCCGGCCUGAGAGGGUGGACGGCCACCUUGGGACUGAGAUGCGGCCCAGGCUCCGACGGGUGGCAGCUGUGGGGAAUAUUGCACAAUGGGCGCAGGCCUGAUGCAGCGAGGCCGCGUGGGGGAAAACGGCCUUCGGGUUGUAGACUCCUUUCGCUAGGGACGAAGCUUUUUGUGACGGUACCUAGAGAAGAAGCACCGGCUAACUACGUG